rnacentral:tRNA from 1 species
GUUUAUAUAAUUUAUAUAGAAUAUUGUGUUGAAGUUACAAAAGAGAUAUUAUUGUCUAUAAACA